rnacentral:misc_RNA from 1 species
GAUGAAGAACGCAGCUAAAUGCGAUAAGUAAUGUGAAUUGCAGAAUUCAGUGAAUCAUCGAAUCUUUGAACGCAUCUUGCGCUCCUUGGUAUUCUGAGGAGCAUGCCUGUUUGAGUGUCAUUAAAUUCUCAACUACACUGACUUUGAAUUGGUGUGGCUUGGAUUUGGGGGGAAAAUUGUUGUGGGCUUUUUGUAUAGUCUGCUCCCCUGAAAUUGAUUAGCGGUACCUUUGUGGAACUGUCUACAGGUGUGAUAAUUAUCUACAUCUUAGACAUCUGCUGGAAUGCUGCUUUCUAAACCUUACUUGUAUUGACAAUCUUGACCUCAAAUCAGGUAGGACUACCCGCUGAACUUAAGCAUAUCAAUAAGCGGAGGA